AUGGCUGAAGAAGCAUUCUCUACACUUAAGAAGUCCCUGAUCUCAGCUCCAGUUUUAGCCCUGCCAGAUUUUUCACAACCUUUCAUGAUUGAGACAGAUGCUUGUGACACUGGAAUAGGGGCAGUUCUAAUGCAAAAAGGGCAUCCUCUAGCCUUUGUGAGUAAGGCUUUAGGUCCAAGAAACAAAGGUUUGUCUGUACAUGAAAAGGAGUACAUGGCAAUACUUUUAGCUGUAGAAACUUGGAGGCCAUAUCUGCAAAUGCAGCAGUUUAUAAUCAAGACCGAUCAGAAAAGUUUGUCACAUAUAGCUGAUCAAAGAUUACACACUCCCUGGUAG
rnacentral:rRNA from 1 species